CACAAGCGAAGCGGCUGCCGGGGCUGGUGGCGGCCCUCCCCCUCGCCCCUCUCGCAACGUGCUGGGCUGGAUUGUAAACAAGCUCAUAAUUGACACGGACCUCCUUUUUCAAGCAAAGCAUGUGGGAAAGCUCCAGAAUUUCAUACUCACUUGCAGCAAGUCCCAACGAAUUUAAUGAAUUUAAUAGAAGAAGGAUGUAGGUUGGCAGCUGAGAGACCGGAUCCUCUUAUUAUUUACUCAGAAGUCCCACGUUGCUCAGUAGGAUUUACUCUCAACAGAAGGAAGAAAGCGAAAGAAGCCCCUCCUUAUUUGCAGCCAGCCUCUGCUAAAGUUACGUCAAGAGAGAAGAGCCCUAAGGACUGAAGCCAUAGCUCCAGGCUCUUCCCCCUCCCAUUUCCCACAGUGCACCAGCGUCACCGCCGGGAGAUCAAUCGGAAGCGGCCGGAGCUGUUUAUCCAAUCAACUUACUCAAGCCAAUCCCAAGAUGCUUUUAUUGGCAGGCCAAAAGUCCUGCUAAAGCAGCUCGCAUCCCUGUCCGCGUGGAUUUUUUUUUCUGGAAAGGGGCAAGUUCUCUGGAGGCUUUGUGAUGGGACUUUACUUUUCUCAUCUUUAGGGCAUGAGAUAGGAAGAAAUAAUGUGUUGACUGUGGAAAGAGCUCUGAGUUGUUCACACAUUCAGGUCUAUCCUGUGAUGACUGUAGUGUUCAUAGGGGCAUGCCAGGGCCCAGAUUAGGGAUAUCAGGUCCCCCAGUGUGGGUGGGGUAUCCCCUGCUCCCACAGUCUGCCACCACUCACCUAGCUGGCAGGAAGGAAAGGCGGGGAAUAGGUCUCCCGGGUGUGCUCCCGAGGCAGUGUGAUGAUGUCACUUCCGGGAGUGACAUCAUCAUGCGGGGUCCGGGAGAGCUCCUGUACUUUUUAGUGGGCCAAUUUGGGCCCAAAAUGUAUUUUAGUAUUUUAAUCCUGGAAGUGAUGUCAUCAUGCCGCUCUGGGAGCUCAUGUAACUUCUCUUUUCACAGGUUCUAUGGGG